rnacentral:rRNA from 1 species
UACGGAGGGUGCAAGCGUUAUCCGGAUUUACUGGGCGUAAAGAGCUCGUAGGCGGUCUGUCGCGUCGGUCGUGAAAACUUGGGGCUUAACCCUGAGCUUGCGGUCGAUACGGGCAUGACUGGAGUUCGGCAGGGGAGACUGGAAUUCCUGGUGUAGCGGUGAAAUGCGCAGAUAUCAGGAGGAACACCGGUGGCGAAGGCGGGUCUCUGGGCCGAUACUGACGCUGAGGAGCGAAAGCGUGGGGAGCGAACAGG